rnacentral:rRNA from 1 species
GGGGAAUAUUGCACAAUGGGCGCAAGCCUGAUGCAGCGACGCCGCGUGGGGGAUGACGGCCUUCGGGUUGUAAACUCCUUUCGCCAGGGACGAAGCGUUUUGUGACGGUACCUGGAGAAGAAGCACCGGCUAACUACGUGCCAGCAGCCGUGGUAAUACGCAGGGUGCAAGCGUUGUCCGGAAUUACUGGGCGUAAAGAGCUCGUAGGUGGUUUGUCACGUCGUCUGUGAAAUUCCACAGCUUAACUGUGGGCGUGCAGGCGAUACGGGCUGACUUGAGUACUGUAGGGGUAACUGGAAUUCCUGGUGUAGCGGUGAAAUGCGCAGAUAUCAGGAGGAACACCGAUGGCGAAGGCAGGUUACUGGGCAGUUACUGACGCUGAGGAGCGAAAGCAUGGGUAGCAAACAGGAUUAGAUACCCUGGUAGUCCAUGCCGUAAACGGUGGGCGCUAGGUGUAGGGGCCUUUUGGGGUUUCUGUGCCGUAGCUAACGCAUUAAGCGCCCCGCCUGGGGAGUACGGCCGCAAGGCUA